rnacentral:rRNA from 1 species
UACGUAGGGGGCAAGCGUUGUCCGGAUUUAUUGGGCGUAAAGAGCGUGUAGGCGGCCAGAUAGGUCAGCUGUGAAAACUCGAGGCUCAACCUCGAGAUGUCGGCUGAAACCAUCUGGCUAGAGUCCGGAAGAGGAGAAUGGAAUUCCCGGUGUAGCGGUGAAAUGCGCAGAUAUCGGGAAGAACACCCGUGGCGAAGGCGGUUCUCUGGGACGGUACUGACACUGAGGCACGAAAGCGUGGGGAUCAAACAGG